GACGAACGCUGGCGGCGUGCUUAACACAUGCAAGUCGAACGGAAAGGCCCUGCUUUUGUGGGGUGCUCGAGUGGCGAACGGGUGAGUAACACGUGAGUAACCUGCCCUUGACUUUGGGAUAACUUCAGGAAACUGGGGCUAAUACCGGAUAGGAGCUCCUGCUGCAUGGUGGGGGUUGGAAAGUUUCGGCGGUUGGGGAUGGACUCGCGGCUUAUCAGCUUGUUGGUGGGGUAGUGGCUUACCAAGGCUUUGACGGGUAGCCGGCCUGAGAGGGUGACCGGCCACAUUGGGAAUGAGAUACGGCCCAGACUCCUACGGGAGGCAGCAGUGGGGAAUAUUGCACAAGGGGCGGAAGCCUGAUGCAGCAACGCCGCGUGCGGGAUGACGGCCUUCGGGUUGUAAACCGCUUUCGCCUGUGACGAAGCGUGAGUGACGGUAAUGGGUAAAGAAGCACCGGCUAACUACGU
rnacentral:rRNA from 1 species